AGUCUCUUUGGGUCCAGCUACCUUAACUGAUUGAUUAAAGCUGUCUUCUUCUUCUUCUUCUUCUUCUUCUUCUUUUUCUUUAUUAAGAUUGAAUAAGAUUUCUACCGUAAGUGUCUUAAUUUGUGUAUUUUGUAUUUGGCAAUUUCAUGAUUCAUCUGUUACUUUUUCAGUUGCAUCUGUAUUUUGUAUUUUGACAGUAUUUCGGUUCAUAUGCUAUUUUGCCAGUUGCAUCUGGAAGUUUGAUAUUGUCAUAAUUGUCUGUUGCUUACGUGACUUAGUUUAAUGUGUCUGUUAUGUUUAAUUGACUGUGUUUUUAGGUUUCGAGUUUUUGGUGUGUGCUAAAUUAAUUAGUUUUCCUAACGAUUUUCUGUAUUGAGUGUGGCUGGGUAUUUGAGUUGGUUAGAACUCAGAUCUCUAAUUGGUUAUUUUGGUUUUUCUCAGCUCGGUGAGUUUUUGGGGUUUUUCGUAUGGGUUGUUUUUGUUGUCUUUCUUUUACAGGUUGAAGAACUUGAUUUUCAGAGAGUGUUCAUCCAUGGCUAGCUGUGAUUGUUCUUCAAGCUGAGUAUUGGAAGAAAGUUAGUUCUGCAAGAGUUCAAGUGUAAGGAUUCAAAUAGAUACUGUGUAUAGAUGAUUUACUGUUUUGGUUGUAAAAUCAGAAAUACUGUGUAGAACUUGCAUUUUAUAUCUUAGUGGAAUUCUUUUUCUGGACUAGGUCCCAAGGAUUAGCCAUUACUUUGAGUAGUGGUGAACCUUGUAAAAAUUGCUUGGUGUGAUUCUUUUACUUGCUCUUUGUUAUUUCUUUAAAUCUUGUUUUACUUCUUCAAUAAUCUAGAUUCUUAGGUAGUAAAUCACCUUCAUCCACAAAUAUAUUUACCAAGAUUGAAUCUUUUUCAUGAGCUACGUAGUCCAUGUAUAUACUUGCGACUUUAGUUUUUCCAAUAUUAUAGUUUUGCUCAAUUUUCUAUAGUGAGUUUUUCUUAAGGUCGCAUCAAUAUGGCACCAAAGAAUAAUAAGUACGACGUUUUCAUAAGCUUUAGAGGUGAGGAUACCCGUAACAAUUUCACUAGCCAUCUUCACAAAGCAUUGUUGCUUAAAAAUUUACAAGUUUACAUGGAUGAGAGGCUUGAGAGUGGUGAUGAGAUUUCUUCAGCUCUUUUGAUAGCAAUUCAAGACUCAAAGCUUUCUGUCAUAGUUUUCUCGGAAAAUUAUGCAUCUUCGAGGUGGUGUUUGAAUGAAUUGGUUCAUAUUCCGAGGUGUAAAGAAAUAUAUGGGCAGAUUAUUGUGCCAAUAUUUUAUCAUGUGAGUCCAUGUGAUAUCAGAAAACAAUCAGGGAAUUUUGGAGUUGCAUUUGGUGCACUUGAAGAACGCUUUGGAAGUGAGUCUGAUAGAUUAUUGACUCAAUGGAGGACUGCUUUAAUAUCUGCAGCUAAUCUUUCUGGCUGUAAUGCACCCAAAACCAGGUGUGAGUCCAAUUUAAUUGAGAAAAUAGUCGAAGACAUCUUGAAGAAGCUUAAUUCUUUGUCAUCAUGUAGUGACUAUUUGAAUAAUGAUCUUGUUGGAAUGAGCAGACGCAUUGAACAUCUUGAAUCAUUGUUAUUAUAUGUUCCAAUUUUGGGCAUGGGCGGCAUGGGAAUGCCAUUGGCUCUUAAAGUUUUAGGUUCUUAUUUGUAUUCGAAAAGUGAAGAAGGGUGGAAUAGUGCAAUAAAUAAGUUGAAAGUGUUUCCCAACAGAAAGAUUCAAAAUAUAAUAUUGAGGAUAAGUUAUGAUGAUAGAUGUUUGAUAUUUGAGAUAAAUUAUGAGACUAUGGAUGCAUGAUUUGAUACAAGAAAUGGGCUGGGAAAUUGUUUGUCAAGAAUGCAUCAAAGAGCCUGGAAUGCGUAGCAGACUAUGGAUUACUGAAGACAUUUGUCAUGUCUUAAAAAAUAACACUAGUAGCGAAAAAGUUGAAGGAAUAUUCCUAAACUUCUUUGGGAUCAAGGGGAGUCAUUUCAAAUUGAAGCCUACAGUCUUUAGAGAAAUGUACAAUCUAAGACUACUUCAAAUAUAUGGAGAUUGUAUACAAAUGGAGAAGUGCAAAUUUCAACUUCCUCAUGGUCUUGAUACACUUCCUGAUUCUCUUAGAUAUCUCAAUUGGCCUUGCUACCCAUUCAAGUCUUUACCAUCAAAUUAUGUGCCACAACAUCUUGUGGAACUCAACAUGCCCUUUUGCAAGUUGGAGCAACUUCCAAACGAA